AGUGAACGCUGGCGGCAGGCCUAACACAUGCAAGUCGAGCGGCAGCGCGUCCGACCACCCUCGGGUGGUCGGAUGGCGGCGAGCGGCGGACGGGUGAGGAAUGCAUCGGAAUCUGCCUCGUUGUGGGGGAUAACGUAGGGAAACUUACGCUAAUACCGCAUACGACCUACGGGUGAAAGUGGGGGACCUUCGGGCCUCACGCGAUGAGAUGAGCCGAUGCCGGAUUAGCUAGUUGGCGGGGUAAAGGCCCACCAAGGCGACGAUCCGUAGCUGGUCUGAGAGGAUGAUCAGCCACACUGGAACUGAGACACGGUCCAGACUCCUACGGGAGGCAGCAGUGGGGAAUAUUGGACAAUGGGGGCAACCCUGAUCCAGUCAUGCCGCGUGUGUGAAGAA
rnacentral:rRNA from 1 species